UUGUUUUAGUUAUAUAAUAAAUAGGAAGUAAUGGUUUAGUGGAAGCUAUGCCAUAUGUUACUUGGAGACAGGGGGUUUGAAUCUUACCUAUAUUGGAGGAAAUUUCAUUUUUGUUGACCUCGAAUGAAGUUACCAAAAUACCCCUAUCUCUUGUGCAAUUUUAAAAAAAUAUCUAUUGGAUUUUUCUCUAAUUUUCCCUAAUAAACUUCAUUUCUUUAAAUUCCUUCCCUUUGUCGGUCAAGAACAGAGCACGAGGGGAGAGAGUGAGAGAAAUCCUGAAUCUAGAAAUUUCAAGCUUCUCUAUCUUCUCCAUCGGUCUUCUCCGUCUUCUUUGCCUAUUCCCAUCUGUCGUCGGUGUUGAUGAGUCUAGAAGCUUCAUCCGCCGCUGCUAAGAGUUUGAGCUGUGAGUUCUCCCAGUUCUCCCUCCUCUGUUUUCGACACUGUGAAAGGAUGCAUGGAACGUUCUUCUCCCUCUUCCUUGUGCAGUGUCGCAGGUUCUUUCUCCUCCUUCUCUGCUCACGUCGUUGCUGGUUCAAGGAUGUUUGGAAGAGCAGACAUUUAAUUGAAGUUGAGAGGUGAACUUUUAAAUUUUGGGAAGUAAUUCAGAUACGUUAGCUGAUGUUGUGCCUUCCGCUAAUCCUUGAGGGGCUGUAAUAUUCAGUUGAGAUGAAAAGCUGAAAUCAAACUUCUUUAAAGUAAAUUUCUUAUGUCAGGUGCUCCACAGAAGCUAUAGUUAGGGUCCUCAUCCUUAUAAUUUAUACUGUGUUAUUUAAUGAUCGGAAGAGAAUUCCUUGCUGCUGCUACUGUUUUGUAAAAUAUUAAAUCUUUUGUUCAUAUGGUUUGUAUUGAGGAUGGCUUAAUUUAUU